CGUUCUUGUUGAAAUUAAUAAAUAAAAUCUAGUAAAUUUAAACUAAUUAGCGAGUUUAAAAUCAAAAUAAAUAUUACAGUAAUGAAAAAUUAAAGUAGAUAGUUAAAAUAGUACACAAGUUCAGUUUGAAUUUUUGCUGAUACUAAGAAGACUGGGAAUAUGAAGUUAAUAUACAUAAGUUAGUAAGUCAGAGAACUCCUAAUAUAAAUAAUUUGAAUGAGUUUGGAUUAUGAGUUGAAAAUGUGAGUAACUUUAGAUUGUGAGUUUAUGAUCUGAGGUGAAGUGAGCAAGUUUGGAUUAAAAGUUGAAAAAGUUAUUAGGUUUAGAGGGCUAAAGUAGAUAGUUAAAAUAGUACACAAGUUCAGUUUGAAUUUUUGCUGAUACUAAGAAGACUGGAAAUAUGAAGUUAAUAUACAUAAGUUAGUAAGUCAGAGAACUCCUAAUAUAAAUAAUUUGGAUGACUUUGGAUUAUGAGUUGAAAAUGUGAGUAACUUUAGAUUGUGUAUUUAGGAUCUGAGGUGAAGUGAGCAAAUUUGGAUUAAAAGUUGAAAAAGUGAUUAGGUUUAGAGUGCGGGUGAUAGAUUAUGAAUGUGAGCUAGUUUAGAGUAUGAAUUGGAGAAAAAAAAAUAUUAUUGAAAAAUUAGUAAGGGAGUUGAAAUUUUAGUGAAAAUGGAUUAACACUGUGUUAAUUUAAAUGGAAGUCUAAUUAACCAGUAUUCAUAUUAUUAGAGAAAUAGAAAGUUUGAACAGUUCCGAAUAUAGAUCUGUAUAAUAUACACAUUUCACAUUUGUGAGAAUGAGUUGAAAAUAUAGUGCGUGAGUUUAGAGCAUGAGUUGUUGCAUGAGAAAAAUUGUGGAAUGAUGUGAAGUAAAAAUGUCGCGAGCGAGUUGUCAAACGACAAUGUUACGAAGGAAUUUCGAAUGCGACAUUUAGAGUGUGAGUUUAAAAAAAAAAUAUUGAUUGAGUUUAGUUGAAGAUUUUAUGUAGAAACUUAGAGUAAGCUGAUUUUGAAAGGAAAUAGAAUUAACCAACAUUCAUAUUAUUACUAGAGCAGAUUGUUUAAGAAGAUGCAAAUAAAUAUAGUUAUUAUCUGAUUUAAAACUUCAUACGCUUCAAAAAUAGGAAAGAAUCUAUAAAUCGCUUUUUUUCUGAAACAUGACAUCUGCUUUCUGGAUUCACGUUUGGAAAAUGGCUCCUAUUUUUGUAUUCAAGUAAUUUUGCUUCAUUAAAAAACAUUAAUUAUUAAAAAUAAGCAAAAUUACUUAAGCCAGAGAUAUUUCUAUAGAUUCGAUUCUGAUCCAUAUUCUUUGCAAACAUUAUCAUAUUUUAACCCUACUUUUGCUUAACCUCUUGUUGUACUCGACACUCUCAUCAAAUGAUAAGCAUAAUCGAUAAUUCUUUCCAUGCAAAUUAUUCCACCAGGACAACUAAAUGUUUUGGUUGCACCAAAAUAAGCUUCGCCUCUGUUUAAAUAUUCCAAAGGAAGAUAAACUCAAGGGAUGCAUAUUUUUAUUCCGAAUUCCCGAACAAAACUUUUCACAUUUCUCCUUCGAUUAUCAAAAACGAUGGAAAAGAAAUUAAGAUAAGAAAUCCUUUUUUUUCUUCUUCCAAAAAUUGAGAAAAGUGUACCUUCAUUAAAGCGAAAACUUUCUCUCUGCGCUAAACUCAUCAGCAUAUUAUGAUAAUUAAGAGAAUCGCCAUUUAUAGAGUGAAAGCGAAAAAGUAAGGGGGCAUUGUAGGGGGGGUUGAGAAUAGAACGAAAAAUGCUUUUGCGUUGUUGGCGUUUAUGAAUAUAGAUUGCAUUCGCACACGGCGCCCGCUUGCUCCUUCCCUUUUCGUGCGCAGGAUUGCGGCGCCAUGCGCCUGCCGCUGCUCCGGAAUCGGCACAGCUUCAGCUCCCAACCGAUACAGAAGGUCCGAAGAAACCACCUUCUCAAAUUCUGCUUCUUCUAGAACGAAUUAUCCUAACAAGUCAACCUCUGACCCUUGGUGUUCUGAAAGUUUUCUGAUGAUGGAAACGAUUUAUAACGAUCGAAUCAAUCUGCAUGUGUGUGGAUGUUAUCUCUCUAGCCGUUCGUAAACUACCCUGUAGAUCCGGGCUUUUGUAGACUGCUUAGCAUUCAGAAGCUCGUCUCUACAGGUAUCUUGCGAACGAUGCUGAUUGCAGCAGCUGAUACACUUUCUCUCUCUCUUCAUGCAAUGGACACAGCAACAGCUGAUACACUCUCUCUCUUCAUGCAAUGGACACAGCAACCGCAGCAGAUGGUUCCCUUUCUCUGAAGAACUUCCGGGAGCAGAUGAUUUCUUCAACUGCAUUCUCUAGAAAUAUUUAAAUCAUUAAUUUAUUGUAUUUAUCAUUAAUUUAUUCAUAUACUGAAAAAAAGUUUUUGACUCAGACUCAUUUAUAAGACAAAAUUUUUAUAAACAUUUUCACUACUAUGAAAUGUUUAUAAAAAUUUUCUAUAAUUUGAUUCAGUUAUCAAAAAUUUUCAGACGUAUAUCUCAGGCUCUGGAGUUCUCAGACUCUAUUAUCUCGGGCUCGAAUUAAAAUUUUUAGGCUCAGACCCCUAAUAGUGAGCCUGAACUCAUCUCUACCGUCCCACAAACAUCUCAGGCUAAGAUAAUAAUUAUUCAACUUUUACUGUAAAGUGAUAUUUGUUUUGUUAUAAAAUUAUAAUUAUUUUACGGUAUUAUAGAAUAAUAAUUAUUUUGUUG